AUACUGCUGAGGAGUCCCACAAUAGGACGAAACGGCCGUACAGUGU
rnacentral:hammerhead_ribozyme from 1 species